AGUGAACGCUGGCGGUAGGCCUAACACAUGCAAGUCGAACGGCAGCACAGUAAGAGCUUGCUCUUACGGGUGGCGAGUGGCGGACGGGUGAGGAAUACAUCGGAAUCUACUUUUUCGUGGGGGAUAACGUAGGGAAACUUACGCUAAUACCGCAUACGUCCUACGGGUGAAAGCAGGGGAUCUUCGGACCUUGCGCGAUUGAAUGAGCCGAUGUCGGAUUAGCUAGUUGGCGGGGUAAAGGCCCACCAAGGCGACGAUCCGUAGCUGGUCUGAGAGGAUGAUCAGCCACACUGGAACUGAGACACGGUCCAGACUCCUACGGGAGGCAGCAGUGGGGAAUAUUGGACAAUGGGCGCAAGCCUGAUCCAGCCAUACCGCGUGAGUGAAGAAGGCCUUCGGGUUGUAAAGCCCUGUUGUUGGGAAAGAAAAGCAGCAGGUUAAUACCCCGCUGUUCUGACGGUACCCAAAGAGUAAGCACCGGCUAACUUCGUG
rnacentral:rRNA from 1 species